rnacentral:lncRNA from 1 species
GAACCUGCUGAUGUUGGACUCCGCAACCUGGACCCCAUGCCCUCUGAGGGCAAGAAGGGUGAGCCCCCACCCAGACCGACCACUGGGGCACUCAUUUAGCAGGCAGAUGUUUGUUGAAGACUAGGCGUUUGCCCGGUCCUGUGCUGGUCAGUGGAUGUGGGGGAAGAGGUGGUGAUGUAGGCUGCAUGGGUAGCAAACACAAAUCCAUCCCAAGAGGCAGUCAAGUACUGGACAAGCGGCAGAGCCAGCAAGUGCUGUGACUCGUUAUUUUCUGGCCCUUCCUCACAACAGCACAGACUUCCCUGUCCUGGAUAGAUAGAAUCAUGAGCUUUAGUGGCUUGGUCCUGUUUGUCUUUCAUUCAUUGAGCUUGGUCCUUAAGUGGCUUGGUCCUCCCUGGUCCUGUUUCUCAUUCAUUGACCUUGCAGCGGAGAGGGGGAGAGGAGAGCAGUGGGGUGAGGGAAUACCCUUCAUGCUGAUCCUGGCUGUGCAGAUGGACUCUGCCCCUGUGGCUGGUUAAUGAAUGUUGGGGGUUCAGGUUGGGGAGAGCAGUCAGGGCAGAGCCUGACGCCCAGCCUUUUCCCACCUCCAGGCUCCUUGAAGGAGGAGAGCACCCUGCAGGAGCUGCUGCUGUCCCCUUACCUGUGGGUGCUCUCCACUGGUUACCUUGUGGUGUUUGGAGUAAAGACCUGCUGUACUGACUGGGGCCAGUUCUUCCUUAUCCAGGAGAAAGGACAGUCAGCCCUUGUAGGCGGGACUGUCCAACUACGGGAACCCUCGCCAUGGCCUGUUGCUGUUCAUGAUGGCUGGCAUGACAGUGUCCAUGUACCUCUUCCGGGUAACAGUGACCAGUGACUCCCCCAAGGUAAUUAAGAAAGGCCUGGCUCACGGCAGGGCACAAGGAGAGAACGCAAGGGCCACUGACUCUGUCUCCCUCUCCUGGCUUCAGCCUGGGCCAAUCUUUUCUUCGCCUCUCAGAUACCCUUUUCAGUUCUGAUUGGACCGUUCCUCUGUGUCUGGGUUCUCCUCCUCCACUCUG